CAAGAGACACACAGACCCAGAUGUGGACAAAGAGGAAGUUCUGGAGAAAAUGGACGAACUCAUUCAGUAUUCCACAAAAGUCUCAAGUCUUCAUAUGGUGAAGGAAGUAUCGUUGGCAUUUAAUUUUCUGAUGCGUGUUAUAUUGAACUGUGAGGUAGAGGCAGAUGUACGUGUAUCCCCUGUCAAGACAAGAUCCAGAGCCACCUCCAAGAACACGACGGAAGAGAAAACCAUACGCCUACAG